UACGAAGGGGGCGAGCGUUGUUCGGAAUUACUGGGCGUAAAGGGCGCGACAGGCGGCCCGUUGAAGUCAGGCGUGAAAGCCCCGGGCUCAACCUGGGAGGUGCGCUUGAUACUCGAGGGCUUGAGUGCGGGAGAGGAGAGUGGAAUUCCCAGUGUAGAGGUGAAAUUCGUAGAUAUUGGGAAGAACACUGGUGGCGAAGGCGGCUCUCUGGACCGUAACUGACGCUGAGGCGCGAAAGCGUGGGGAGCAAACAGGG
rnacentral:rRNA from 1 species